rnacentral:rRNA from 1 species
CUGACACAGGGAGGUAGUGACAAUAAAUAACAAUGACUGGCAUUUUUAUGUCGGUCACUUGGAAUGAGAACAAUUUAAACCCAUUAACGAGGACCAAUUGGAGGGCAAGUCUGGUGCCAGCAGCCGCGGUAAUUCCAGCUCCAAUAGCGUAUAUUAAAGUUGCUGCAGUUAAAAAGCUCGUAGUUGCAUUUCCGAGGCAAGGGAUUAGUCCGACCUUUGGUGGGUAUUUAAUCCUCUUGCCUCGUCCUUGAGUGGUGCUUCUUGGUAUUAAGUUAUCGAGGAGAUAGCCGC